CGUAAGGGUGCGAGCGUAAUCGGAAUUACUUGGGCGUAAAGCGUGCGCAGGCGGUUGAUUAAGACAGGCGUGAAAUCCCCGGGCUUAACCUGGGAACUGCGCUUGUGACUGGUCGGCUAGAGUACGGCAGAGGGGGGUGGAAUUCCACGUGUAGCAGUGAAAUGCGUAGAGAUGUGGAGGAACACCGAUGGCGAAGGCAGCCCCCUGGGCCGAUACUGACGCUCAUGCACGAAAGCGUGGGUAGCAAACAGGAUUAGAUACCCUGGUAGUCCACGCCCUAAACGAUGUCAACUAGUUGUUGGGAGGGUAAAACCUUUUAGUAACGUAGCUAACGCGUGAAGUUGACCGCCUGGGGAGUACGGCCGCAAGGCUAAAACUCAAAGGAAUUGACGGGGACCCGCACAAGCGGUGGAUGAUGUGGAUUAAUUCGAUGCAACGCGAAAAACCUUACCUACCCUUGACAUGUCAGAGAUCCCUGAGAGAUUGGGGAGUGCCGCAAGGAAUCUGAACACAGGUGCUGCAUGGCUGUCGUCAGCUCGUGUCGUGAGAUGUUGGGUUAAGUCCCGCAACGAGCGCAACCCUUGUCGUUAAUUGCCAUCAUUAGGUUGGGCACUUUAACGAGACUGCCGGUGACAAACCGGAGGAAGGUGGGGAUGACGUCAAGUCCUCAUGGCCCUUAUGGGUAGGGCCUCACACGUCAUACAAUGGUCGGUACAGAGGGUUGCGAAGCCGCGAGGUGGAGCCAAUCCCAGAAAGCCGAUCGUAGUCCGGAUCGCAGGCUGCAACUCGCCUGCGUGAAGUCGGAAUCGCUAGUAAUCGCGGAUCAGCAUGUCGCGGUGAAUACGUUCCCGGGUCUUGUACACACCGCCCGUCACACCAUGGGAGUGGGUUCUGCCAGAAGUAGGUAGCUUAACCGCAAGGAGGGCGCUUACCACGGCAGGGUUCAUGACUGGGGUGAAGUCGUAACAAGGUAGCCGUAGGGGAACCUGC
rnacentral:rRNA from 1 species